GGCAUAGCUCAGUGGUAGAGCAUCUGCUUCACAUGCAGAAGGUUCCAGGUUUGAUCCCUGGCAUCUCCA